AUUGAACGCUGGCGGCAUGCCUAACACAUGCAAGUCGAACGGUAACAGGUCUUCGGAUGCUGACGAGUGGCGAACGGGAGAGUAAUACAACGGAACGAGCCUAGCAGUGGGGGAUAACCACUCGAAUGAGUGGCUAAUACCGCCUGAGAACUACGGAUGAAAUCAGUGGACCGCAAGACCUUGCGCUAAUAGUGCGGCCGAUGGCAGAUUAGGUAGUUGGUGGGAUAAAAGCUUACCAAGCCAACGAUCUGUAGCUGGUCCGAGAGGACGAUCAGCCACACUGGGACUGGGAAACGGCCCAGACUCCUACGGGAGGCAGCAGUGGGAAAUUUUGGACAAUGGGCGAAAGCCUGAUCCAGCAAUGCCGCGUGCAGGAUGAAGGCCUUCGGGUUGUAAACUGCUUUUGUACGGAACGAAAAGCCCCGGGUUAAUACCCUGGGGUCAUGACGGUACCGUAAGAAUAAGCACCGGCUAACUACGUGCCAGCAGCCGCCGUAA
rnacentral:rRNA from 1 species